AUUGAACGCUGGCGGCAGGCCUAACACAUGCAAGUCGAACGAGUGGCGGACGGGUGAGUAAUGUCUGGGAAACUGCCCGAUGGAGGGGGAUAACUACUGGAAACGGUAGCUAAUACCGCAUACCAUCGGAUGUGCCCAGAUGGCAUUAGCUAGUAGGUGGGGUAACGGCUCACCUAGGAUACGAUCCCCAGCGGAUCUGAGAGGAGGACCGGCCACACUGGAACUGAGACACGGUCCAGACUCCUACGGGAGGCAGCAGUGGGGAAUAUUGCGCAAUGGGCGCAAGCCUGAUGCAGCCAUGCCGCGUGUAUGAAGAAGGCCUUCGGGUUGUAAAGUACUUUCAUCGAGGAGGCGUUACUCGCAGAGGAAGCACCGGCUAACUCCGUGCCAGCAGCCGCGGUAAUUC
rnacentral:rRNA from 1 species